AGAGCGAACGCUGGCGGCAGGCCUAAAACAUGCAAGUCGAACGGAUCCUUCGGGAUUAGUGGCGGACGGGUGAGUACCACGUGGGAACGUGCCUUUUGGUUCGGAACAACUCAGGGAAACUUGAGCUAAUACCGAAUGUGCCCUUCGGGGGAAAGAUUUAUCGCCAUUAGAGCGGCCCGCGUCUGAUUAGCUAGUUGGUAGGGUAAAGGCCUACCAAGGCUACGAUCAGUAGCUGGUCUGAGAGGAUGAUCAGCCACACUGGGACUGAGACACGGCCCAGACUCCUACGGGAGGCAGCAGUUAGGAAUCUUGCGCAAUGGGCGAAAGCCUGACGCAGCCAUGCCGCGUGAAUGAUGAAGGUCUUAGGAUUGUAAAAUUCUUUCAGCGGGACGAUAAUGACGGUACCCGCAGAAGAAGCUCCGGCUAACUUCGCGCCAGCAGCCGC
rnacentral:rRNA from 1 species